CCUUAAGCUGAAUUAUAAGAAUGCUAGUAACAAACACUUGUCCACAAUUGCACCUUUAGUACUCAAACAUGAUUAAACUUGUAAUGUUGACUGGCACAAAGCCAGAGGUGUGAUGCAGACUGUAGUACAGGGGCAGAUUCUGGUUACUCAAGUACAGAUGCAGAGGAGAAAGGGAGCCCACCGCUCCUUCACCCUCCUAUGCAAAAAAACCCCACCAGACUCCAGCAGGUUUGAUCAUAUUGGCAACAAGAUAUUGAAGGAUGACCAGAUUGUCCAGGGAGAAUAAUGCAACAUACAGCCAGCCAGCAACUGGGAGUCUCCCCUACAGAUCUAAG